rnacentral:rRNA from 1 species
GACGAACCGUCCUAACGUUAUUCGGAAUUACUGGGCUUAAAGAGUUCGUAGGCGGCAUUGCAAGUAGGGUGUGAAAGUCCUCGGCUCAACCGAGGAAUUGCGCUCUAAACUGCAGUGCUUGAGGACCUAGAGGUGAGCAGAACAGAUGGUGGAGCGGUGAAAUGCGCAGAUAUCAGGAGGAACACCGGUGGCGAAGGCGGGGUCUCUGGGGCAACAACUGACGCUGAGGAGCGAAAGCGUGGGGAGCGAACAGG